rnacentral:lncRNA from 1 species
UGGAGCCUGGCGACUGUUUUGGGAAGUCCUGCUGGCAGGCACUCUGCCCCUGGGGGUGUGCAAAGCGUUGUCCAGUUACCUCGAUCUUCUCACAGCCUCCUCCCCAGGGUACCAGGAGAGACCAGGAUUGGAGGACGGUAAAGAACACACUUCCCAGAGGAUUCUUGGAGGUGGCUUCCUCCAGGCAGUAAAUCUACAGCCCAGGCUCCCUGCACCUUGUGGCUCCAAUCAGUUUGGAUCUCAUUGUCGCCUGCACAUCGCCAUACACAGGGAAGGAGAGAAGAUGGAGAAGGCAAAGACUUUCUGAAAGCCGUGGCUAAAAACUGGCAUGUGUCACAUCAGCUCACAUUCCAUUGUAGAGACGGGGUUUCACCGUGUUAGCCGGGAUGGUCUUGAUCUCCUGACCUCGUGAUCCGCCCGCCUUGGCCUCCCAAAGUGCUAGGAUUACAGGCAUGAGCCACCGCGCCCGGCCUGGCAGGCAUUCUUGAGGCAGACGGGAAAUGGGUGAAUGGGAGGAGCAUAGGCAGCACAUGUGGUCUGCACCGAGAACUGAAUCGAAUUUCCAUGUGUUAUUGAAUGUUCACAAAGACCUUGUACAGCGAGUGUUACUACCUCUGGUCAAUGAUUCAUCUCAAGGCUCAGAAAAGUCAAGUGUCUUGUCCAGGGACACUUAGUCAGAAGUGAAUCGAAGGGUUAAGCUCAAGUCUGCCUAACUCUGAAUUUCACAGCCUUUUGCUACAUAUGGCGAAAAAUACAUCCCUGAGCACUAAAGACAGACUCCAAGGAUCUUGUCUCUGCAAUCAUCAUUCUGGCCAUAAUUUAUGAAAAGCAACCCAAAGUACGUGAUGUAAUAAAAAGUACUAUCUAUGAGUUAACCCUUCCAAAAAUUGAACUGAAUUUUGAGCUCUAAAUUUGGAAUCAAAAGAACUUUUCUCUGCACUAAUCGUUUGGAACAUCACUUAAAGAAAACAACCAAAAACUGGUACCCCCUGAGAGAAAGCAAUAGAAAACAUUAUGCAUAAAGUAGUCCUUCCAAAAAAUAAACCAAAUCCAGUCAAAUCUCAAGUUUUGACUCCUAGCUUACCGGAAAUACGUGAUGGGAAAAAAAUGAAAUGACAGCACCAUGAUUCAAUCAGCCAAAUCCAGCAUAUGAAAAUUUCUACCAGACAAAUGGUUUAGUUUCUUCCACAAACAAAUGGCACAAGGAAACGCAGAUGGAGUUUCCCUCUGUCACCCAGACUGGAGUACAGUGGCGCGAUCCUGGCCAUCGCAACCUCCGCCUCCCAGGUUCAAGUGAUUCUCCUGCCUCAGUCUCUCAAGUAGCUGGGAUAUAGGCACCUGUCACCAUGCCCAGCUAAUAUUUUUUUAAUUUAUUUUUAGUAGAGAUGGGGUUUCACCAUGUUGGCCAGGCUGGUCUCGAACUCCUAACCUCAGGUGAUCCACCCACACUUUUUAUUGUUUGCCUACACUUUCUAGACUUGCUUCAUCAGUCUACUCCCUUUCUGGUUGAUAUGGUUUGGUUGUUCCCCCACUCAAAUCUUAUCUAGAAUUGUAAUCCCCACGUUUCAAGGGAGGGACCUGGUGGGAGGUGAUUGGAUUGGGGGUGGUUCCCCCCAUGCUGUUCUCAUGAUAGUGACUGAGUUCUCAUGGGAUCUGAUGGUGUUAUAAGGCAGUUUUCCCUAUUCUUGCUCAUUCUUCUCUCUCCUUCUGCCAUUUGAAGAAGGUCCUUGCUUCCCCUUCACCUUCCACCAUGAUUGUAAGUUUCCUGAGGCCUCACCUCAGCCAUGCACAACUGUGAGUCAAUUAAACCUCUUUCCUUUAUAAAUUACUCAGUCUCAGGUUGUAUCUUUAUAGCAGUACGAGAAUGGACUAAUACACUGGUCUAUCCUUCAUCCAAAUUAACUACCUGCACUGCAGUCCUUUUCUCAGGCUCUGCUUUGAGGGACCCCAACUAUGACAGCCGCAUUAGAAUGCAUCACAUACUGCAGUGAAAUUCUAGAGUGGGUGUUGUCAGGUGGUGAUGAUUGUUAGAUAUGUUAGUCUGUUUUCAGGCUGCUGAUAAAGACAUACCUGAGACUGGGUAAUUUAUAAAGGAAAAGGAGGUUUAAUGGAUUCACGGUUCCACAUGGCUAGGGAGGCCUCACAAUCAUGGCAGAAGGUGAAAGGCACAGCUUACAGGGUGGCAGCAAGAGAGGAAAUGAGAACCAAGUGAAAAGGUUUCCGUUUAUAAAACCAUCAGCUCUUGUGAGACUUAUUCAUUACAAUGAGAACAAUAUGGGGGAAACUGCCCCCACGAUUCAGUUAUCUCCCACCAGAUCCCUCCUACAACACAUGAGAAUUGUGGGUGCUACAAUUCAAGAUGAGAUUUGAGUGGGGACAAAGCCAAAUCAUAUCAUUAGAUAGGACACUGGAGAAAGGCAAGAAAGAAAAGACAUCUGAAGAAUGAAGGGAGCCAAAGAAAUGCCAACAUUUUGUUUUUUGAAGAAAAGCUAAAUUAACGUCAAAAUGGAUUUAUCAAUUUCCUUGGGUUCGUGAAUGUAGAGAACUUUAUUAAGACUGUCAUGCUGUCAUCAUGGCUGGAUCUGAUACGGCCACCGUAUCAGAUGUGACCUUGGGAAUGGAGGUGACCUUGGGAAUGGAGACAGUGCAUGGGAGAGAAUCACAUUGGAAGGGGCCUGGGUUCCUGAAGACCCCGUGAGACAGAUCUCCUUGCAGCCCUGACUGCCCACAUUAGGGCUUUUAUGUUAGGGUGAAAUUACUUUGCAUUGUCAUGUAAGCAAUUGCUAUUUGUGGUGUCUUGCAAAUAAACCUAUUUUGAUCGAGUAUAUUUCCU